CUACGGGGGGCUCCAGUGGGGAAUAUUGGACAAUGGGCGUAAGCCUGAUCCAGCAAUGCCGCGUGAGUGAAGACGGCCUUAGGGUUGUAAAACUCUUUCGCUAGGGAAGAUAAUGACUGUACCUAGUAAAGAAGUCCCGGCUAACUCCGUGCCAGCAGCCGCGGUAAUACGGAGGGGACUAGCGUUGUUCGGAAUUACUGGGCGUAAAGAGUUCGUAGGCGGACUGACAAGUUAGAGGUGAAAUCCCAGGGCUCAACCCUGGAACUGCCUUUAAAACUGUCAGUCUAGAGACCGGAAGAGGUUAGGGGAAUACCUAGUGUAGAGGUGAAAUUCGUAGAUAUUAGGUGGAACACCAGUGGCGAAGGCGCCUAACUGGUCCGGUACUGACGCUGAGGAACGAAAGCGUGGGGAGCAAACAGGAUUAGAUACCCUUGUAGUC
rnacentral:rRNA from 1 species